ACAAAAGUAACCUGAGCAGCCCCGGCGUAAAGUUACAAAGAAAGUGAACCUCAAAAGGAAAAAGGGCCUGCACUCAGAGCUCGGCGGAUUCCCGUGCGCUCUGGGCACGGAUCUUGGAAAGCUGCGAAAGUCACCAAAAAGAAGCAGGCAAGCAAACAAAAGUUGCCCCAAAAGAAGAGGGUACCCUCUGGGCUCUUUCCGAGUCCCACAGGGCAACGACGCGCGGGCAGCGGCUGCGGAGGCCCGGCGGAGAUUAGAUAGCUUUGCUUUUCUUCCAUCAACCAGACCCGGAGAGACAGAGUAUCCUCCACCUUUCUUGAAAUCUCAAUUCUUGCAUCCCAAAAUGAAGAGCCCAAGACAUCACUUUGUCCUAUGAAGCUUCCUGUCUUUUACCACAGAGGUUAACAAGGAGAGCUGGAGGAAAUGGAAUCCAAGAUGAAAGAAUGAAGAGGAAUAAAGGUUCGGCUUGCAAGGCACUGCCUGAAGUUGCAUACCAGCUGAGCUCCACAUUGAGGAACUUGAGGGGGAAUUAAUGAAAGUGAAGCGAUCAAGAAUGCUGAACAUAAAUCUCACCUACUACACUAUUUUGCUUGCACUCAGUUUGGCUUCCCAGGCUUCUCCAAUUUGUUCCUCAGACACUCUGGUCAAAUAAAUCAUUAUUCCACCAGUGAUGAUAACUGUUCCAAAAAGCAAACUAUCAGACGCCACCCAUUCAAUCCUCUAGCUCUGAAAUGUGCCAGAAUAUUCUUGGCCUGUGCUUGGAUGAAUAAAUGGAUGGGGAGAAUUAAGCACUGCUGACUAGAAAAUGAUUUUUUAAAUGCAGCCAAGGAGGCAUCAUUUUCUUUUUAUUCAGGAGGUCAUUCAAAGAAGACAGAAAGACAAGCAGAUUAUCUUUCUCCUAAAGGGAAUGCAGAAGUGGUGUUUUUAAAAGAGAGUCCUUUAAUGCUGUGUAAUAUACAAUGUAUUUAUUCUGGAUAUUAAUUUAAAAUAUUAGAUAUACACAACUGAGAUAUUUUCUGUCAUAGUUUAAAGUUUAUCUGGAUUAUAGCUUAAGAAUGCUAUGGAACAUCUAAAAAAUUUUUGAGUGAAACUUGUUAAAUUAAUUAUUUUGAGUAUUUCUUCUAAAUUAGAUUUGGUUAUUUCAUUUCCAAAUUAUAUAUUCACAAGAAUGUUUUUAGAGGUCUAAUUUAUGUAAUUCUAGCUUGGUUUUCUUUGGAAUAAGCUUUCAUGAAAUAUAUUCUCAGAUAUUAAAUUAUUAUUCUAUUAUUCUCACAUCACAUUUGUAUUUUAUACAGUCUUCUAGAGUAUAAAGUGAACACAAAUUAAGUUUCUGUAAUCUGUAAUUAUCUUUAUGUAAUUAAAAUAUUUUUAUCAUUAGUUUUAAAAACUCAGUAAGUCAAUCAAUCAGCUACAUUGCUUCAAUUGAAAAUAGGCAAUAAUAAUAAUAUUCAC
rnacentral:lncRNA from 1 species